rnacentral:rRNA from 1 species
UAGGGAAUCUUCCGCAAUGGGCGAAAGCCUGACGGAGCAACGCCGCGUGAGUGAUGAAGGUCUUCGGAUCGUAAAACUCUGUUAUUAGGGAAGAACAAAUGUGUAAGUAACUAUGCACGUCUUGACGGCACCUAAUCAGAAAGCCACGGCUAACUACGUGCCAGCAGCCGCGGUAAUACGUAGGUGGCAAGCGUUAUCCGGAAUUAUUGGGCGUAAAGCGCGCGUAGGCGGUUUUUUAAGUCUGGUGUGAAAGCCCACGGCUCAACCGUGGAGGGUCAUUGGAAACUGGAAAACUUGAGUGCGGAAGAGGAAAGUGGAAUUCCAUGUGUAGCGGUGAAAUGCGCAGAGAUAUGGAGGAACACCAGUGGCGAAGGCGGCUUUCUGGUCUGUAACUGACGCUGAUGUGCGAAAGCGUGGGGAUCAAACAGG